GUAUAAGUAACAACUUUAUUGUAACUUGAUGUGCUGAAAUGCAAAAAUAUUUUCAGCAACAAGGUACAAAAAGUAUUUCACCAUUAACAUCAGCUGAUAAAAAAAGGCUGGAUGGUUUGAUACAACUGUUUACAUAUCUGAAUUCUUUUAAUCAUUUCCACCCCAAAACAGGUCUAAGUCAUUUCACUGGUUUAAUUUCUAAAAUAGGACUCAUUGAUCUUAAGCCUUCAAAAACCAGGUUACAAAUACAGUGAAGUUCCUUGCAAAACACUUGAAAUAGUAAAUUCCCUUUACAUAGUCCAUUUACUGUAAGCAGAAGCCAAGUUAUGAGACUAAGUCAGUGUCUUGCUAGCUAAGGAGCUAAGCUCUGCACUAAAUGCACUAUCAACACCAGACAGCAGACAGUUAACAUUCCAUUUGUCAAUUACAAAAACUAAAUCCAUUAAAUCUAGAAAUUUUAACUAACUGUAAAAUCCAAUGAAAUUGAACAGUAUUUCAGGUAGCAAUCUCUCACAUUUGCAAUUCACUGUCUUUCAUGAAACACAGUUUCAAAUACUGCACAUCAUUUUAUUCUCCCAAGAGAGAAACCUUACUAUGAGGAUUUAAAAGGAAUAUAAUCUCCAUGUAGGUCUUCUACUGACCUUCUGUGCAAAGGUGAAUUUUAUACUCAAUGUUUAGAAAACCAUCAGACUAUAGAGUAACUUGUGAAACUAACUUUGUGUCCAUGAUUACCACAUUUUGACAUACAUUUAUCUUGUAACAGCAAGUAUUUUCACAUUUUCACAAAAAUAUACCAUUACUCAACUUGUAUCUAUAAUACUUAUUCCACUUUUUUGUGUUGUUUCUACCUUAGUGAAACUGAAUUUAGGAAGCAAGAAUCAACAUGCAACAGAGCCUAAAUGGGCAAUUUGUAACUUUUCCAUCUCAACUGUAUAUCAAAUAGCAUACUCCACCUUUAAGAAUACCUUUUAAAAAAGAUCUUGUGUCCUGUUAAAUAUUCCCUUCAUUACAACAGUUUCCUAAAAAGGCACAAUGUGUUCAUACUUCUGCAUGCAGUAAAUGGACUAGGAAAUAAGGAUCAUUUAUUGAAGCAUCUUCCACCCAAAGCAUCUCCUUAGGAGAGGUUCAAAUGGAAAAAAAAAAAAAAAAAUAUAUAUAUAUAUAUAUAUAAUACAUCAUAGCGUUUUAACAGCAAAUUGAGUCCUUAUUUUUAGAAAGUCAUUCUUGACAAAAAACACCACAGUCAUACACACACACGCACGCACACACAGGACACAUGCAGGGUUCUCCCCAGAAAGUAUGGAAGCGAUGGUUCACAUCUAUCUGAGGGAGUAGUGUUGGCAAGCCAAAACAUGGCACCUUCAUACAUUAUAUUCCUAAUACAUAUAUAAAACUAAGAAAAACCCUUAAGAUUUCUGCCUGAAAAAACCUGUCCAUUUGUAUUAGAUAGUUUUAUAUCUGCUGCACUUAGAACUGACAACUGAGGUUUUGAAGGGCAAGCUCUUGAGAUGUGGGGAAUAAAAACAAGCUAUUGACUCCAAAGGAGAAGGUUGUAAUUACAAGCCAGCCCCAUUCCAGUGAGAACACUGCAUGUAGUUAAAGAGGUGAAUAAUUAGUGCACUCACUUAAUAAUACAGUAACUGUUUCACUUUUUCUGCAAGAGCUGACAAAACUUCAAAACAUACAUUAUAAAUAAAAUUAUAUCUAAACAGAUCAAUUAUCAUGUGGGUUGGGUUUUUUUUCCUGUUAGUGUAAUGUAUGGUAUACACUGUCUGACUUGAAAAGUGGACACUCGACAAUGUAGGUAAUAUUACAGCAUAGUGUCUGACAUUAUUUGGUACAAAGUGUGCUAUUAAGCUUCUAUUAAAAAAAGUUUUCAUAAAAGUCCUUAAGCUUUCCAUUUGAUUACUGUACGUUGAUAUUUUAGAGUAAGCUGAACUGGACAAUUAUUACAGCAUUAAAUAUUCAAGUCACUUUGUAUGUUAGAGCUGCAAGUUUUACCAGUGAUGAGUAUGAGGAUAUAUAGUCCUAAAGCAUUACACAGUGCAGCAAAAACAUCACUAUUUUGGAGGGAACAAUUACUUUCAUGUCUUAUUGUGAAGAAUGCUUAUGAGAUCUUAUUUUAGAUAAAUAUUUUUAAACUGAUAAAAGGAUAAAUCUCUGCAAAUAUAUAACUUGAUGCCUUAUGCACUAUUAAAGUUUCUGAUUUUACACUUUAUCCAUCAUAAAGAUUUAGUUAGAAGGUAAGAAGAAAAUGCAUCUUUAGAGGUUAUUUUAUUGUUCAAAAUGGGACUGAGCAUUUUU
rnacentral:lncRNA from 1 species